AAGCGAGCCAGUAAUGAACAUCCCUCCAUGGCCUCUGCAUCAGCUCCUGCUUUCUGGCCUGCUUGAGUUCCAGUCCUGACAUCCUUUGGGUGAUGAACAGCAAUGUGGAAAAUAAGCUAAGCCUGAAUUUUACAGCUCGACUGGAAUGAAUACAGCAACCUUUAUUUAUUCAAGCAACAGACUAGUUCCUGGAGAGUUACUGGCAGCACAAGGCAUCAGAUGGCAAGAGAGACACAUGACAGAGUCAGAGCUGACUGGCGGCUUGGAAAGACCCAACCUGAGUUGUUGGCUGGGAAGACCACCUCUACACCAUCCUCACUCAGGUAUGUGGUCCGAAGCAGCUCCAAGGCUGCUUGCCUUGGAGGGGAAAGAUGCUUGCCAACACACUGGAAGUUACUUUUCACAUUUCUGUGGACAAAGAAAGUCACCUACGUGGCACUACUGUACAGAAAGCAAGGAUUACUGGAACAAAGAUGUAAUUAUUCAAAUAUGCUCUUGAUCUCCCAUGGCAUGGUCUCUAUCAUCACAAAAGGAUCAUUCUUAGUGGCUUUAUAAGAAUGGAAACUAUGGUAUCAUUAUCAUAUAGAACACUCUAUCAAAGAUCUUGAUUUGCAGAGACUCCGGGUUCGCUGUAAAGUUGAACAGACCGGCUCACUUCAGCAACACAAAGGAUUCACUAUAAGGCUGUGGGUUACUUAUGGAUCCCUAGGGAAAGCUGGGGUGAGGGAAAGAGAGAGAAUGAAACAAAACAAAACAAUAAACCUAGAUUUCAGAAGGCACGGGGCAGAAAUGAAGAGACUCUCAAAUUUAAUUUCCUGUGAGUGAGAGAAUCUGAUUGGCUAAACUGGACGCAACAGAGCCUUUUGAUUGACAGUCCUACACCUGAGGUGUGGCCCCCAGUAGGAUGAGAGAGUGGGAAGAAUCUCCAGAGAGCUUCUGGGUCAGUGAGCUAAUGCAGGGGCCACUGAGGUCUGAAUAAAAGUGCUUUGUCCCAGUGCCAGUUGGUGGCAGAAAUGAAAUCUCUUUGUCUUUUCUGCAUGGCUUUCCUUGUUGCAAAUUGGAUCUAGGGUUGUUUAUGUUGGGCAAACACUCUACCUCUGAACUACAUCUCUAGCCCAGAAACAAAACCUUCUGUUACAGCCACAUGGGAGACUUAAAAACAAUUUUAUUUCCAGCUUGCCAAAGCAAUGGUUCAGAGAUCUGUAAGAUUAGGAUUAUCUAUGACAGUUGUUAAACUAAGAAAGUUACUCCCCAAGAGUCAUGGAAUAUCUAACAAAAAGUCCCAGUGCCAGGCAUGCAAAAUCCUAUUUCCAAUGGUUGGUCAUAGGGGUCCAAGAGACACCCUUCCCCCCCCCCCAAAUAGGCUAUGUCUCUUGUCUCUGUUUGCUUUCCAGAAGUUGAAGGUAAAUCCCUAUUGUUGAAGAUGCCAUGCACUUCAGGCACAGCACUCAAGAGACCAAGCUAUAUGUAACCUUGAAGACCAGCUUUCAUAUUACCUGCAGGAACUAUACAAGCUGCCAAGGAAGGGAAGCCAUUAAUAGUCCUACCUAGCUAUGGCACCAACGAACCACAACAAUAACCAGCAUGGCAUGAUAACCCUAAGGGCGCAGUAGUGGCACACAUAUCCUGGUGGUAACCAACAGCUCUCUAAUUGGACUUAAGAACUGCUCAAAGGGCCAGGGGAGAUUAUGCAUGGUACUGAGAACUUAGCCAACUACUCACUCGGGGCUAGUAAGAUCAUGGUUGCUGAAGGAGAAACUACAACUGCUACUUUACUAAACCAACAUGAUUCCUGACUGCAUUCUAAAUAUUUAAUUCUUAUACUCACCCCUCAUACAAAGAAACUUCUCUUUGCAACAGAUCAAGACCAUUAAAGAAAACUACAACUGCUAAAAAUGCAGAGAACAAUUGAUUAAGGAGUAACCAGUCCCAGUUGAUGUUUUUAACAAUACAACAAAAUGCUCAAGAAACAUCAUAGCAAAGGGGAGGGGAGAGUCUUUGUAGUUUAGGGCACUAGGAAAGGAAGAGCUGAGAAAACAGGCUGAGCAAGUCAGAAAGAGCAAGCAGGGAAGCAGCACUCCUUGGUGGUCUCUGCUCUAGUCCCUGCCUCCAGUUUCCUCACCUGACUUCCCUCAGAGAUGGAGGAUGACCAGAGAGUUUUAAAAUGAAAUAAACCCUUUCCUUCCC
rnacentral:lncRNA from 1 species